GCCGCGGUAAUACGGAGGGUGCAAGCGUUAAUCGGAAUUACUGGGCGUAAAGCGCACGCAGGCGGUCUGUCAAGUCGGAUGUGAAAUCCCCGGGCUCAACCUGGGAACUGCAUUCGAAACUGGCAGGCUAGAGUCUUGUAGAGGGGGGUAGAAUUCCAGGUGUAGCGGUGAAAUGCGUAGAGAUCUGGAGGAAUACCGGUGGCGAAGGCGGCCCCCUGGACAAAGACUGACGCUCAGGUGCGAAAGCGUGGGGAGCAAACAGGAUUAGA
rnacentral:rRNA from 1 species